AACUGUAAUAAUCUCAGAGCUCCAGGAUAUUUGCCGACAUCAUUAUAUCAUCACUCGGCCUCAUGAAUGGAGCUAGAAGAUGCUACAAGCACUGCCAGAAGUCGGUAGGAUCAGCCACCACCCUGAAUGAAUGCACUGGAAGCUACAGCAUCACAUCUAAUGAUGAAGAAGAAAAGUAGAAUAUGUUUCCUUUUUGCAAAUUUCCAUCAUCAGUCUUCUAUUUCUACUUGCUCCUGGCUGCCACAACUGUAAAACCAAUGCUCCUGUUCCAACUGUAAAACCAAUGUCUGGCUAUUCAGGAUUUGCCCACUGAGAUCUUCAGUUGCUGCUUGCUCAGGUGUCAGCAUCUCCAUCACAGGACAGAAUAGCUGUCCUCAGGUAUAUAGUAACCAAGUGACUAGCCAGGCUAACCAAGAGGAAAAGAGAGAGGACCCCACAAAAAAUGAAUCAAUAAAUAAUGAAAGAGGAGAAAUAAAAGCUAAUACCACAGAAAUACAAUAAAAAAUCCUAGAAGAAUACUAUGAACAGUUAUAUACCAACAAAUUGGAUGACCUAUAAGAAAUGGACAAGUUUCUGGAAACAUAAAGCCUGCCAAAAAGGAGUCAAGAAGAAACAUAAUUUGAACAGAACAAACACUAGAAGUGAAAUAGAAUCUGCAAUUUACAAAAUAUUCCCUCCAAA